rnacentral:tRNA from 1 species
GGUAUUAGCUCAGCUGGUUAGAGCGCCGGCCUGUCACGUCGGAGGUCGCGGGUUCGAGUCCCGCAUAUC